UUUAGAGCUGCGUCACAGAGCUCAGCGAGAGAGCGAGAGAGCAAGCUCCGUCGAUAGGUCUACCAGCAACAGCCCUGCUGCAGCAAGAGGGGAGAGAAGCAGCCAGAGAGGGAGAGAGGGCUCAAGAAAGAGAAGUAAUACCAACACCAGGGACGGAGCUCCUGUCACCAGACGGUGUCAUUUAGAGAACGUAUCUGGGCUCGGUUGGCGUAGGAGGCUUCGCCCAUUGACGAUGCUGGAGACCCGGCGCACUUAAUCCCGCGGGGAGGGAGAGUGGGCAGACGCCGAAAGGGUUAACGGAAAGGAAAUUUCUGGAACCUUCUAUUCUGCGGCGCUACACAGCAAGCGGAGGGCUGAACGCUGCGCAGCUGGUGCACGGGCAGAGCUCCUCGGUCCGGUUCGUCUUUCCCACGUCACCACUUGCACUGUCACACCCCUCUGUCCUGCACCUGGCCUGGUCUGACUCAUCUCUUGACUGAGGGUUGCCUCUCUGCCUCAGCUCUGCAUGCAGAACAGGGAUAUUUCCUGCAGGGGAGACCAGAAAUGGAUGAUCCAAGAAUUUAAUUCUGGCAUUUCAAAAUGGAGAGAAAAAAAAAAAAAAAUGCUCACUGCAGAAUGCCCAGAAACUGCCCUUAUAUAUAUAGGCAGUUGUGAGAAAUCAGGUCUGCAGCACUGACUUGCCACGUUCCUGCAGACUACAUUAAAGGUCCUCAGCUAGGGAGGAGGUUCCCUUUCAUGGGGCAGACAGGGAUUUCUUGCCUUUUUUUGCCUUGUCUAGAGGAUAUAAAGCAGCAUGGAGUCCUGAAAGGCUUAGAGAGGUUCCUCUGAAGGAAGCUAUAGCACACCGCUGCUGCUGCUAAAAUACAUCAGAAAAGGAAAAAAGAAUAAUAACACCGUACUUUCUUUGCUAUUACUUACAAAAACUCUGGAAUACUUUGACAAA